UACGUAGGGGGCAAGCGUUGUCCGGAAUCAUUGGGCGUAAAGAGCGUGUAGGCGGCCAGAAAAGUCCGCUGUGAAAACUCGAGGCUCAACUUCGAGCUGUCGGUGGAAACUUUCUGGCUAGAGUCCGGAAGAGGAGAAUGGAAUUCCUGGUGUAGCGGUGAAAUGCGCAGAUAUCAGGAGGAACACCAAUAGCGGAGGCAGCUCGCUGGGACGGUAUUGACGCUAAGGCGCGAAAGCGUGGGGAGCAAACAGG
rnacentral:rRNA from 1 species